AUUGAACGCUGGCGGCAGGCUUAACACAUGCAAGUCGAGCGGAGAUGAGGUGCUUGCACCUUAUCUUAGCGGCGGACGGGUGAGUAAUGCUUAGGAAUCUGCCUAUUAGUGGGGGACAACAUUCCGAAAGGAAUGCUAAUACCACAUACGUCCUACGGGAGAAAGCAGGGGAUCUUCGGACCUUGCGCUAAUAGAUGAGCCUAAGUCGGAUUAGCUAGUUGGUGGGGUAAAGGCCUACCAAGGCGACGAUCUGUAGCGGGUCUGAGAGGAUGGUCCGCCACACUGGGACUGAGACACGGCCCAGACUCCUACGGGAGGCAGCAGUGGGGAAUAUUGGACAAUGGGGGGAACCCUGAUCCAGCCAUGCCGCGUGUGUGAAGAAGGCCUUAUGGUUGUAAAGCACUUUAAGCGAGGAGGAGGCUACUGGGACUAAUACUCUUGGAUAGUGGACGUUACUCGCAGAAUAAGCACCGGCUAACUCUGUGCCAGCCGCCGCAGUAAAAC
rnacentral:rRNA from 1 species